rnacentral:tRNA from 2 species
UGGGACGUCCUUAAAACGGCUGAAACCUGCCUUGGGCGCAGGGGGUCGCUGGUUCGAAUCCUGUCGCCCCGACCA